UAAGUAAGCUUUGAUCCAGAGAUUUCCGAAUGGGGAAACCCAGCAUGAGUUAUGUCAUGUUAUCGAUAUGUGAAUACAUAGCAUAUCAGAAGGCACACCCGGAGAACUGAAACAUCUUAGUACCCGGAGGAAGAGAAAGAAAAUUCGAUUCCCUUAGUAGCGGCGAGCGAAACGGGAAGAGCCCAAACCAACAAGCUUGCUUGUUGGGGUUGUAGGACACUCUAUACGGAGUUACAAAGGACGACAUUAGACGAAUCAUCUGGAAAGAUGAAUCAAAGAAGGUAAUAAUCCUGUAGUCGAAAAUGUUGUCUCUCUUGAGUGGAUCCUGAGUACGACGGAGCACGUGAAAUUCCGUCGGAAUCUGGGAGGACCAUCUCCUAAGGCUAAAUACUCUCUAGUGACCGAUAGUGAACCAGUACCGUGAGGGAAAGGUGAAAAGCACCCCGGAAGGGGAGUGAAAUAGAACCUGAAACCGUGUGCUUACAAGUAGUCAGAGCCCGUUAAUGGGUGAUGGCGUGCCUUUUGUAGAAUGAACCGGCGAGUUACGAUUUGAUGCAAGGUUAAGCAGUAAAUGUGGAGCCGUAGCGAAAGCGAGUCUGAAUAGGGCGUUUAGUAUUUGGUCGUAGACCCGAAACCAGGUGAUCUACCCUUGGUCAGGUUGAAGUUCAGGUAACACUGAAUGGAGGACCGAACCGACUUACGUUGAAAAGUGAGCGGAUGAACUGAGGGUAGCGGAGAAAUUCCAAUCGAACCUGGAGAUAGCUGGUUCUCUCCGAAAUAGCUUUAGGGCUAGCCUCAAGUGAUGAUUAUUGGAGGUAGAGCACUGUUUGGACGAGGGGCCCCUCUCGGGUUACCGAAUUCAGACAAACUCCGAAUGCCAAUUAAUUUAACUUGGGAGUCAGAACAUGGGUGAUAAGGUCCAUGUUCGAAAGGGAAACAGCCCAGACCACCAGCUAAGGUCCCAAAAUAUAUGUUAAGUGGAAAAGGAUGUGGCGUUGCCCAGACAACUAGGAUGUUGGCUUAGAAGCAGCCAUCAUUUAAAGAGUGCGUAAUAGCUCACUAGUCGAGUGACACUGCGCCGAAAAUGUACCGGGGCUAAACAUAUUACCGAAGCUGUGGAUUGUCCUUUGGACAAUGGUAGGAGAGCGUUCUAAGGGCGUUGAAGCAUGAUCGUAAGGACAUGUGGAGCGCUUAGAAGUGAGAAUGCCGGUGUGAGUAGCGAAAGAUGGGUGAGAAUCCCGUCCACCGAUUGACUAAGGUUUCCAGAGGAAGGCUCGUCCGCUCUGGGUUAGUCGGGUCCUAAGCUGAGGCCGACAGGCGUAGGCGAUGGAUAACAGGUUGAUAUUCCUGUACCACCUAUAAUCGUUUUAAUCGAUGGGGGGACGCAGUAGGAUAGGCGAAGCGUGCGAUUGGAUUGCACGUCUAAGCAGUAAGGCUGAGUAUUAGGCAAAUCCGGUACUCGUUAAGGCUGAGCUGUGAUGGGGAGAAGACAUUGUGUCUUCGAGUCGUUGAUUUCACACUGCCGAGAAAAGCCUCUAGAUAGAAAAUAGGUGCCCGUACCGCAAACCGACACAGGUAGUCAAGAUGAGAAUUCUAAGGUGAGCGAGCGAACUCUCGUUAAGGAACUCGGCAAAAUGACCCCGUAACUUCGGGAGAAGGGGUGCUCUUUAGGGUUAACGCCCAGAAGAGCCGCAGUGAAUAGGCCCAAGCGACUGUUUAUCAAAAACACAGGUCUCUGCUAAACCGUAAGGUGAUGUAUAGGGGCUGACGCCUGCCCGGUGCUGGAAGGUUAAGAGGAGUGGUUAGCUUCUGCGAAGCUACGAAUCGAAGCCCCAGUAAACGGCGGCCGUAACUAUAACGGUCCUAAGGUAGCGAAAUUCCUUGUCGGGUAAGUUCCGACCCGCACGAAAGGCGUAACGAUUUGGGCACUGUCUCAACGAGAGACUCGGUGAAAUCAUAGUACCUGUGAAGAUGCAGGUUACCCGCGACAGGACGGAAAGACCCCGUGGAGCUUUACUGUAGCCUGAUAUUGAAAUUCGGCACAGCUUGUACAGGAUAGGUAGGAGCCUUUGAAACGUGAGCGCUAGCUUACGUGGAGGCGCUGGUGGGAUACUACCCUAGCUGUGUUGGCUUUCUAACCCGCACCACUUAUCGUGGUGGGAGACAGUGUCAGGCGGGCAGUUUGACUGGGGCGGUCGCCUCCUAAAAGG
rnacentral:rRNA from 1 species